UACGGAGGGUGCAAGCGUUAUCCGGAUUUACUGGGUUUAAAGGGUGCGUAGGUGGAUUUGUAAGUCAGUGGUGAAAUCUCCGAGCUUAACUCGGAAACUGCCAUUGAUACUAUAAGUCUUGAAUUAUCUGGAGGUGAGCGGAAUAUGUCAUGUAGCGGUGAAAUGCUUAGAUAUGACAUAGAACACCAAUUGCGAAGGCAGCUCACUAAACUGUAACUGACGCUGAGGCACGAAAGCGUGGGUAUCAAACAGG
rnacentral:rRNA from 1 species